CAACUUCAGAAAGGGAUCUCUUUGAAUGGUUGUUACAAAAACACAACCUAAUCGACCCCUCACAGCCACACAAUGACCCUAUACUGAUUUGCUUUUUCUUUUUACACAAAUUCUUUGGUGGCAACAAGUCUCAUGUGCUAUUUUUUCACAAAUUCUUUGGUGCCAACAAGUCUCUAAGAUGAUGAUGGUUUUGCUAUGGAAAUGCUUUGAAAAUCAAUGGAGAACAAAAGAGACGAGUGAAAUUGCAUAUGUAGAUUGGAAACAUCUAUAUAAUUUUUUACUAGUUUAAAUGUGCACGUGUAAGCAUUUAUUUUCCUACACAUGUGUAAACCAUCUAUGCACAUAUGUGUAAGUGUAGAUUUGAAUUAUGUAUGAGCUAAGUUCAUUUUUUUUCAUUUUUUUUGUUAUAUGGAUGAUGAAUUUGGAGACAUGUGUUAGCAUUUAUUUUCUUACACAAGUGUAAAACAUCUAUCUACAUAUAUGUAAGCGUAGAUUUGAAUUAU
rnacentral:lncRNA from 1 species